CGGAGCUCCGCCUCGUCGCCGCCCUGAGGCGAUCGCGGGCGGUUUGGUCCCGCUCCGCCCACUAUGACGAUCACCUACAGCUGCAUUGCUAAUGGGCGAGCAGUCCUAGCGGAGCUGGCCCUGACCGGCGGCUGCUAUCAGGAAGCAGUGGCUAAAGUGCUUAGACUAGUGCUUCUUAGAGCUGAACCAAAGACCAUAAUUCAAAUGGAAAGCUAUGUCUACCACACUCUCU